rnacentral:pre_miRNA from 1 species
CAACUACUCCCUCUGUCCCAAAUUUCUUGUCUUAGAUUUGUCUAGAUACGGAUGUAUCUAAUACUAAAAUGUGACUUGAUACAUUCGUAUCUAGACAAACCUAAGACAAGAAUUUUGGAACGGAGGGAGUACUUU